rnacentral:ncRNA from 1 species
CACCCUAGAAUUAGCCAUUUUUACAAGUCCAUUCUUCCUUUUAGUAGAGAAUGGCACUUAGAAGCUUCUGGUCCUGAGGAUUACCUCAGUAACAGUGAGUAAACAGGGAAAAGCCCAGUGCCGAAUCCCCGCCCCUCAGUGAGGCACGGGAAAUGUGGCAUUCAGAAGACCCACUCCACAGCACCGCUCGUGGGGGGCCCAAGCCCUUCUGAUCGAGGCCCAGCCCGUGGACCAUGUGAGGCCUGUAGUGGCCCGGGCGCACUGGGCCAGGGUCUUCUCGGAGUCGGGUUGCUUGGGAAUGCAGCCCAAAGUGGGUGGUAAACUCCAUCUAAGGCUAAAUACCGGUUCGAGACUGAUAGUCCACAAGUACCAUAAGGGAAAGUUGAAAAAAACUUUGGAGAGUUCAAGAGGGUGUGAAACCAUUAAGAGGUUGACCAGUUGGCCAGUGUGCCCCAGACCGACCAGGGUUGACCAGUUGGCCACACAAGGACUUUGAUUUAUAUGCAGAUUUUUGGAUGACUUCCUUUUCCCAAGGAUGGUGGAACCAUGACAAAGGU